rnacentral:lncRNA from 1 species
GAGCUUGGAAAUCUGAAGAGUCUGAUCAGUUUGGAUCUGUACAACAACAAUCUCACCGGGAAAAUUCCAUCGUCUUUGGGAAAAUUGAAGUCACUUGUCUUUCUGUAAGUUUUGGGGAAAGGAUAUGGAGUUUUGUAUCAGUAGUUGAGUAGGUGUUACUUGCUUUUGCUUUCUCUCUGUGUUAUGACAUUCUAAGUAAUUGCUUGACAUGACACAGACGGCUUAACGAAAACCGAUUGACCGGUCCAAUUCCUAGAGAACUCACGGCUAUCUCAUGCCUCAAAGUUGUGUAAGUUCAACUACUUCCAGCAAUGUAUCGCUUCUGUUUGCUAAUUACUGUGCCACACAAGUCUACAAGUCUUUUCGUUCACCUGAUAUAGAUACGCUUUCUUUGUCUUUUUGUUUUGGCAGUGAUGUCUCCGGCAAUGAUUUGUGUGGAACGAUCCCAGUAGAAGGACCUUUUGAACACAUUCCUAUGCAAAAGUAAGUUCUGUUUUUGUUUCCUUUGUUUUAUGACCAACAUUUUCCCUUAACACAAAACUUGUUUUCUAACACAAAGCCCAUUGCUACAGCUUUGAGAACAACCUGAGAUUGGAGGGACCAGAACUACUAGGUCUUGCGAGCUACGACACCAAUUGCACUUAAAAAGAAGUUGAAGAACCCUAGAAGAAGAAUGGGGGUGACCUUGUAAGAACUCUGUACCAAGUGUUUGUAAAUCUAUAUAGCGCCUUGUUUCA